UGUUUAUUUCAGAGUCAUCUGCUUAGUGUAAGUCGAACAUGAAACAUCGCGUCAACAAAUGACUGGGAAUGUGUAACUAAAGCUAGCGUGGGUGCAAGACAAGAAAACACGGAGUUGGCUAACUUCCCAGCUAGCUUCCGGAUAUUUCAGCUGUCUCGUUACUGUCGCGCACCACCAGGGCUGGAGUAGUAAAUGUAUUUCAGCAAGUUCAAGAGGCAAGAAAAGAUAGGAGGAAAUAACAAGAUGACGGGAAAUGAGGAGCACACAACAAAGGUCAGAGGCCAAACACAAACAGAGGAAGGCACCAGCAUCUUAACCCCUAAACCACCAGGAUGUCCC